GGGAGGAACGGGCGUCUGGUUAGGGCAGGAGUUGCGUUCUCGUCGGCUCUGGAUGAGGGGGAGAAGGAAGACAGCAGGAGCAGGGGAGAAGGGGGUAUUGAGGAGUGGCUAAGCUUUCCUUGGAGGAAUUCGACCGGCAUUCAGCUAUGUGGAGGAUCAUUUUCCUGUGGGGCUGCAUCCUUCUCCUGCCUAGCACGGCUGGAAUGCCUGCAAUGCUAAACUAUGCCGUGGCAAUACCAUCUCAGCUCUACUACCCCUUCUCAGAGACAGUGUGUCUCCAGCUCAGCAGAGAGCAAGCAGUCCCAAUCCAUGUGUCGGUCACCUUGCAAAGCGGAGCUGGGAAUGAGACUCUGAUCUCUCAGUCCAUCUCUCAGCUCCCCUUCUUCCAUUGCACAAGCUUUCAGGUCCCUCCUCCUGUUGGAAACCCUGAGGAAGUGGCUUUUGUUGUUAUCACAGUCAUGGAAGCCAACUCAGAGUUCCAGAAGAAACAGAAAGUCCUAAUCAAGCAUGCAGACAAGAAGACUUUUAUC
rnacentral:lncRNA from 1 species